ACUCAAAGGAAUAGACGGGGGCCCGCACAAGCGGUGGAGCAUGUUGUUUAAUACGUCACUAACCGUAGAACCUUACCAGGGUUUGACAUGUGCCGACAUCCGAUGAAAGUCGGCUUCCCGCAAGGGACGGCAACACAGGUGUUGCAUGGCUGUCGUCAGCUCGUGUCGUGAGAUGUUGGGUUAAGUCCCGCAACGAGCGCAACCCUCAUCCCAUGUUGCCAGCGGGUAAAGCCGGGAACUCUUGGGAAACUGCCGGGGUAACUCGGAGGAAGGUGAGGAUGACGUCAAGUCAGCAUGGCCCUUACAUCCUGGGCUACAAACAUGCUACAAUGGACGGUAGACAGAGGGAUCCGAGCCCGUGAGGGGGAGGCAAUCUCAAAAAUCCGUUCUCAGUUCGGAUCGUAGGCUGCAACUCGCCUACGUGAAGCCGGAAUCGCUAGUAACCGCAGGUCAGCGAAACUGCGGUGAAUACGUUCCCGGGCCUUGCACACACCGCCCGU
rnacentral:rRNA from 1 species